rnacentral:rRNA from 1 species
CAGCAGCCGCGGGAAUACGUAGGUGGCGAGCGUUGUCCGGAAUUAUCGGGCGUAAAGGGAGCGCAGGCGGACAUAUAAGUCCAUCUUAAAAGUGCGGGGCUCAACCCCGUGAGGGGAUGGAAACUGUAUGCCUUGAGUGCAGGAGAGGAAAGCGGAAUUCCCAGUGUAGCGGUGAAAUGCGUAGAUAUUGGGAGGAACACCAGUGGCGAAGGCGGCUUUCUGGACUGCAACUGACGCUGAGGCUCGAAAGCCAGGGGAGCGAACGGGAUUAGAGACCCCAGUAGUCCCUGUCUCUUAUACA